ensembl:snoRNA
UGGAUCCCUGAGGACUGCUGGUGGUUUGUGAGUCCUGUAGGAUGCGUCGUCUCUGGAACUGUGAGGUCCCA